GCCAUGCAUGUCUAAGUAUAAACACCUUUAUACACGUGAAACUGCGAAUGGCUCAUUAAAACAGUUAUAGUUCCUUUGAGAACCAUACUACUUGGAUAACCGUAGUAAUUCUAGAGCUAAUACAUGCCUAAACGCCCGACUCACGAAGGGUGGUAUUUAUUGGAUAAAAAACCAUCGUGUUCCUUCGGGAGCACUUUGAGAUGAUUCACAAUAACUUGUCGGAUCGCACGGCCUCGUGCUGGCGACUCCUCAUUCAAAUUUCUGCCCUAUCAACUUUCGAUGGUAGAGUAUUGGUCUACCAUGGUGUCGACGGGUAACGGGGAAUUAGGGUUCGAUUCCGGAGAGGGAGCCUGAGAAAUGGCUACCACAUCCAAGGAAGGCAGCAGGCGCGCAAAUUACCCAAUCCCGACUCGGGGAGGUAGUGACAAAAAAUAACAAUAGGGGGCUUUUAAGGUCUUCUAAUUGGAAUGAGAACAAUUUAAAUCCCUUAUCGAGGAUCCAUUGGAGGGCAAGUCUGGU
rnacentral:rRNA from 1 species